UACGUAGGGGGCUAGCGUUAUCCGGAAUUACUGGGCGUAAAGGGUGCGUAGGUGGUUUCUUAAGUCAGAGGUGAAAGGCUACAGCUCAACCGUAGUAAGCCUUUGAAACUGGGAAACUUGAGUGCAGGAGAGGAGAGUGGAAUUCCUAGUGUAGCGGUGAAAUGCGUAGAUAUUAGGAGGAACACCAGUUGCGAAGGCGGCUCUCUGGACUGUAACUGACACUGAGGCACGAAAGCGUGGGGAGCAAACAGGAUUAGAUACCCGCGUAGUCCCU
rnacentral:rRNA from 1 species